GCCCGCCUAGCUCAAUCGGAUAGAGCGUCAGACUUUUACGGACAUGUAUCUGAAGGCUGCGAGUUCGACCCUCGCGGUGGGCU
rfam:Fistulina hepatica ATCC 64428 unplaced genomic scaffold FISHEscaffold_87, whole genome shotgun sequence.